UGGAAAAGAUGCAAGAAGCUAUGAGUUCC
rnacentral:piRNA from 1 species